AUGAGUGGCUGCAGAAUUUUAAGCCUAAAGGUUCCAAACAGCAUUGUCUGUGCACCAAAUCCAAGGAAGACUCUCAUGAAAAGUCCUCUUGAAAUUUUGAACUUCCUAAUUCAGUGUCUGUUGCUCAAUCCCAGAGAAGGGUGUCAAGAAGACUGAGAGAGCAUCCAAACCGAUGGAGGUUUUGAAAUGGCCAAGGAAACAGAACAUUUUACAAAAGUCUCAUUGCACUGAAAGUGUCCCAGACUAUU
rnacentral:lncRNA from 1 species